GACGAACGCUGGCGGCGCGCCUAACACAUGCAAGUCGAACGGAGUGUUUUCACGGAAGUUUUCGGAUGGAAGUGGUUACACUUAGUGGCGGACGGGUGAGUAACACGUGAGCAACCUGCCUUUCAGAGGGGGACAACAGCUGGAAACGGUUGCUAAUACCCCAUAAGCCGAGAGGUAAAAGGAGUAAUCCGCUGAGGGAGGGGCUCAUGUCCUAUCAGCUAGUUGGUAAGGUAACGGCUUACCAAGGCGAAGACGGUAGCCGGCCUGAGAGGGCGAUCGGCCACACUGGAACUGAGAUACGGUCCAGACUCCUACGGGAGCAGCAGUGGGAAUA
rnacentral:rRNA from 1 species